rnacentral:lncRNA from 1 species
UAUUGCCUAACUUCGGAAGCUAGGUCAUAAAAGGUGGUACAUCUUACCUUUGGAGUCCAGAUUAACCCAUGUGCAGAGGCCCAGGAACUACAUGAAGACAGUAAGAUGCCCGUGGCUGACUGGCUGAAUUAGUGAAUGAAUGAAUGAGCUACCAAGCAUCUAAAGCACAACUUAUUACUUCCAAUCUGAUUCAGAAUGAAGUGAAGAACGAAAGAAUCCACUGUGAAGAGAAAGGGUUGAGUUUAUUUCACUACUUAUUAAAUAGUACUACGUGUUUAAAAAAAAAAAUAGAGACCACAUGAUAUUUACAGUCAACUUGUACACAUGCCCCCACCUCCAAAUUAUCCUACCACCUCAUGUAAC